GACGAACGCUGGCGGCGUGCUUAACACAUGCAAGUCGAACGAUGAAGCCUUAGCUUGCUUUGGUGGAUUAGUGGCGAACGGGUGAGUAACACGUGAGCAACGUGCCCAGGACUCUGGAAUAACCGCGGGAAACCGUGGCUAAUACCGGAUAGGUGCCGAGGCCGCAUGGUCUUCGGUUGGAAAGUUUUGGCGGUUCUGGAUCGGCUCACGGCCUAUCAGCUUGUUGGUGGGGUAAUGGCCUACCAAGGCGACGACGGGUAGCCGGCCUGAGAGGGUGACCGGCCACACUGGGACUGAGACACGGCCCAGACUCCUACGGGAGGCAGCAGUAGGGAAUAUUGCACAAUGGGCGCAAGCCUGAUGCAGCAACGCCGCGUGGGGGAUGACGGCCUUCGGGUUGUAAACCUCUUUUAGUAGGGAAGAAGCGCAAGUGACGGUACCUGCAGAAAAAGCACCGGCUAACUACGUG
rnacentral:rRNA from 1 species